rnacentral:piRNA from 6 species
GUUUAAUAUCUGAUACGUCCUCUAU